AUAAUUACUUCCGGGUUCCCACUGGUGCGCUGGGUUGACUAGCUACGCGCACAACCUGUCGAACACCCAUCGUCCUGUGUGCGGUACAUCUACUGGGUUGUCAUCACCAAUGUGGGUCAGCAAUAUGGAGUCCACCCUGUCCAGAUGUCGGACCAGCUUCCAGAAGCAGGACUUGCGAUCCGAGCCCCCGUUGAUCAGCAUGUUGAACCCGUUGACGGCGAAGAGGGCGGAGUCUCCACGCCCCCCCGGGAAGAUGUAGCAGCAGGGCUUCGACAGCUUCAGAAACCCCCCGGAGGUCGGGGGCUCCAGCAUGUCGAAGGGCGACGGGAUCUCCACGGACUCGGCCAGGUACUCCGCGAACUCAGAGAGACCCUCCAUUUCGGGCAGUAUGACCGCAGAGUUCAGCUUCAUGUUUAUGAAGUCUUGGAGGUUGUGUUUGUCCAGGUUUGAGUUCUUCCAGUCACCUUCUUCAGGGCAGAACAAGGUUAGGUUUGCCUUGUUUGCUGGAUGUGUGUUGCUGAGUAAUUCCCCAAUCUAUUAAGGCAAGAAUAUCAUUGGUUUUUAUUAAAUUAUUUUUAAAAGCCUUGAUUAGGAAAACACAAGACAGAUGACCCUUUGCCUUGUUAAACUUUCAGUAUCAAGGGUCAGUUGUUUAAUCAUAAAAUUAUGACUAUAAUAAAAUAUUUCUGAAGUGCCA